GACAAACGCUGGCGGCAUGCCUAACACAUGCAAGUCGAACGGACAGAACAGGGAAGCUUUUCGGAGUGGAACUGGAAAGUUAGUGGCGGAUGGGUGAGUAACGCGUGGACAACCUACCUUGUAAAGGGGAAUAACCUCGAGAAAUCGAAGCUAUACCCCAUAAUAACCUUGCUUCGCAUGAAGUAAGGAGGAAAGGCGGCCUUAGCGCUGUCGAUACAAGAUGGGUCCGCGUCUGAUUAGCUAGUUGGUGAGGUAAAGGCUCACCAAGGCGACGAUCAGUAGCCGGCCUGAGAGGGUGAACGGCCACAUUGGGACUGAGACACGGCCCAAACUCCUACGGGAGGCAGCAGUGGGGAAUCUUCCGCAAUGGGCGAAAGCCUGACGGAGCAAUGCCGCGUGAGUGAAGAAGGCCUUCGGGUUGUAAAACUCUGUCCUUAUCGAAGAGAGAGUGUUGUAGUAACUGACAAUACUAGGACGGUAGAUGAGGAGGAAGCCCCGGCUAACUAUGUG
rnacentral:rRNA from 1 species